GCCUUGGGUGAAUUUAUGGAGACAUAAACUUAGGGUUGGUUUGCAGAGACAUGAAAUACUACCCAGUAGGGUCUGCAGCUCUGCCUGAAGCCAAAUGUUUUACUGGCCUCUCAGCUAAAUGAUUGAAGAUGUGUUCCAGGGUUACUCUUUAUUUUGAGGGGCUGAGUAGAGAACUGAAUCACUCCUCUCUGCCUAGAGAGAGGGAAAAAAGCAAUUUUCUCUUGUCCUUUGACAGUGCACUGGGGUUCCUUUUAUCUUUAUGCAUACAGACAGCAAUGAACAUACAUUUCCUCCUCUCAAAGGAGAGAUGGUAACAGCCAGAAAAGCAGUUUCAGGUCAUGCUAAUAUUCACCUGUACAAAAUAUAUUUGCAUGAGAAAUGGGAGUGUGGGUGGGACUGGUGUCACUUGUCACAUCUGAGCAGGGCCACCCUUUCCCAGACCAAAAGUAAAAGCGUUUGCCUGCAGCAGCAGCAGUUUGGCUUUUCAUGUCCAUCAACAUUCAAUCAGCAGCUGCAUGAAAUACAGUUUAAUGGGAAUUGGGGCAUCUCUGUGAAAGGAACUAUACAGGGCUUUCUUCUGUGUUUUACACUUCACAAUACAAAAUGGAAUUUCAGUGAAAUUCCCAUGGAAUUUCAGUGUCCCACCGAACCAUCUAAACCACUGAGCAAAUAACUGAAAAAAUAACUUGUCAUGUAAAUAUAUUUCAGUUUCUUAGGUUACAAAUCUAUUAACAUACUAUAAGGAACAAACAAAACUAUGGAGAUCAGGAAGUCAGAAAAUUCUUCAGGAAAAGAGAGGUAAAAACUUCCUACAUUAUUCAAAGAAUAUAUUAUUUUCAUAAUUUUUUCCCAUUUCACCAGAAGAGCUAUUGGAGGUGAUAUUGUUUGGAUGGUACAAAAAAGCAAAUAAUUGUCUGACAAGUGCAUUUGAGUGUGCACUGACACAUGUAGAGUCUUCUAAUAAAGAAAAAGAGAAGUAAACCAGACAGAAUAUAGUUCAUUAAUGACCAAAUUAAAUAUUUUUAAGUUUGGUAAGGAAGAAUUUUGUACAGAAAGAUUUUUUGGAAAUCAGCUUUACUUUUCAGCAAAGUAUUAUGAAUUCAGGUUGUAUCCAGGCCACUUCAUGGGAGCAAUCUAAACCAUUCCAGAGGCAAAGGUUCAGGCCCAGCUUGAAGAGCAGGAGCUCUGGAGCACACAGGAGCACCCAGCAGAGCACAGGCACGGCUGCUACAUGAGCUUUGCUACCUCUCCAGUAUUUUUAAUUUGGAACCUUUUGUCACCCUUUGCAGCUGCAAGAUCCUGCAGGUUUGGUAAUUGCUCCUGAUCUCCCCUCCUGCACAGCUGCUCCAUGGGAAGGUGGCAGUGUCCCCAGCUCAUAGACAUCACCAGGACUGCCACACUGCCACAGCCCAUCUCAGCCUGGGCCCUUGCACCUGGCAGCUCUGCCACCUCCCAGGGUCAUGUGUACCUCCAGAACAUCCUGCUGCACCUCCCAAUCAGCCUCUGCAUUUCUGGCAGGAUCUCAGACAGUUCCAGAUGACAGGGAGCUAAGAAGCCUCUCUCAGAGGAACCCUUUCUGAUUCUUCACCUGUUCCCAUCAGAAGGGGCCGUGCCAUGGGGUGCAGGGUGUGGAUUCUAAAUCAGCCAACGUCUGAUGGAUUUAGCAAGUGGAAACUGGUAAUUUAGGAACAUCAAAAUGGCCACAUCAAAUUUAGGCUAAGGGGCAGUAUUACAUAGAUGUGAUGCAAAAAAUUGACCCACAGGUUGAAAGCGAAUCUGCAUCAAUAUUAAAAUACAGUAAUAAAAGGUGAUAGUUUGCAGCUAA